rnacentral:rRNA from 1 species
AUGAUCGACGAUACCAAAUUCACAAGGGUCUGUCAGGUUACAAGUUAUCAUCCUCAUGUUUCCAGGCUACAAGCAAAACUUGUUGAGUUUCAGAUUAUGCCAGGCUAUUCAAUUCAGCGAGGCCACCCACUAGAACUGCAACUGGGAUUGAGGAUGACAACCGGGCUUGCAGUGAUGUUAAUAUUGGAUCUUGGGAUGGCUAAGAGAAACGCAAAUAGCACCAUAAAAUCAAGUUCAUUGAACCCAGACUGGUUUUCUGUGCAGAAAAAAAUGGAUAUAUUUAUUUGGGAAGUUAGUUUAAUAAAUUUCAGCUAUUUGUUCAAAUCUUAG